GAGCUGGUGGAAGGACAGAGGUCCUGUUUGCUGAAAUGGGGAAAACUCCUGGAAAGCUGAAUUGAAGAGGAAGAUAAGGAGUUCAAAUUUGUCCAUGUGAAGUUGAGAUGCCUGUUAAUGCUCAUGUUCAACAGCAUACAGAUGGCAUUUCUCAGCCUCUCCUGAACCCAAAGAGAUCUUUCUUGUUCUCUCUUUUCUCAUGAAUACCAGAAGGCCAAUGCUGAAGAUCUUGAUGUUACAGAUGAAAGGAACCUGGAUCCCUGAGUUACUUUUAGGAGGAAGUAAGUCCAGCAGUGUUGCCCACUUACUUUGGACUAUGAUGUGAACAGAAAAUAAAAUUUUUAUUUUGUUAAUGCA